rnacentral:lncRNA from 1 species
CCACAUCUGCGGGCCUUCAGGGUUAUUGAGGAGGAGCUUGUUUUUGUCCAUGACAUGUAUUACACAAGGUACUCUUACCUUUACCAAAAGGGUAGAUACCUGGCUCUCUGUCUGCCUGUCAUCAUGAUUGCCCUAUGCUCGUGGCUCACAGUGGCCUGCCUGCACGUCAAGUAUCUCGACGACGACCGCUAUAUAAGUAAUCGCAGUAAUAAUAGCAUUCGCAGUCUGUUGCCUGAAACCAUUGUCAUAAUGGUUGUCUUGGCAGUCCUGGAGGCAUACCAGCUGUACCUGUACAUAGCCUCAGGUUGGUUCAAGGUGGCGCUGAUACGGAGCUACGUCAACGCUCCUUUUCUGCAAAGAUGCUGUUGCUUUGAGAUGAUCAUACGUCUUCUCUUGAUAUGGAAGGCGUUUCGCCCAUGGAACGGCAGACUUGGCCAGUACUGUCUCCUCGAGAAACUUGGCCGCAAAAGCAGGGUUAAGAAUUGUCUCCAUCAUACUACACUACGCCUGGUGGACAAGGCCAAGAAGGAAAGCAAGAAAUCAGUCAAGCUGUCCGAAAAGGUGAAGAAAGCCGUUGUUGAUUCCCUACUGCUAAGCAAGGGCUACCUGACGGGAGGGUUACAAUCAUUGGAAAACAAUGGCGUCCAUGGUCUUCUAGCAUGGGCAUGUGAUGCUACUGCAACAGACGGAGCAGUGACUCGCACCAUCCUGGUCUGGCACAUUGCUACAACGGUGUGCGAGCACCAGCUGGAUAAAAAAGCCAGAGAAGAAGAUGCCGUCAAAACAGCCUCCACAUUAUCCAAGUACUGCAUGCAUCUCCUUGCUGUUGCACCUAACCUCUUGCCUGACCACAGCUCCAUAUCGGAAUCCAUACUUGAUCAGUCAAUCGACGAAGCAGGCAAGUUACUCAAAGAGGCCAAGGAAAAGAAGAUCAAGGGAAAGAACAAGAAGAUAAAGGGAAAGAACAAGAAGAUCGAGGGCAGGUGUGACAUACUAAUGCAAAUUAGCACUACUGAUGUUGAAUGUGUUGGUGAUGAAACAAGGCUCGUUGCGCAGGGCGUUCACCUUGCAAGGCAACUGAUUGAUAACAUACAAGACUCCACAAAACGGUGGAAGGUGCUAUCUGAUUUCUGGGCUGAGAUGAUGCUGUACGUCUCGCCAUCCGACGAUCCCCGGGAGCACCUGGAAGUUCUUGCAAGAGGAGGGGAGUUCAUCACGCAUCUUUGGGCACUGCUCACGCAUGCUGGUGUGCUGAAGCGAGGCCCUAGAUGAUAACCAAAGGAUGUUGUUGUCUGAUCUAUCCAACAAGUGCACACGCAUCAGUCAAUACAUCCAUGUCUAAUAAGUCUGUCGAGUUUGUUUUCUCUUUUCAUGUCGUGUCUGUUGUCAGAUUUUGGUGAGAAUCGUGUUACGAUUGCUAGUUAUGUUGCACAAAUAAUAAACAGUAAGAAAUCCGAAAACGCUGCAGCUUCAUCGCAGCACAAAAUCCACUCCCUCUCAGUUGUAUUUGUUCGUCUGUGAAUCGAGCAGGUCCUGUUGUAGCAGAGAUUGACCCUACCACACCGGCAUGAGGUUUCAUGCACACUUGGAUUCGAAGCACGUACGUACUGGUUCCAUCAGCGAAUCCACUGAGGGCUGUGUAGGCCUCGUACACAUGUUCGUGGAACAAGCUUUCAAGCGCCGGACCUUGGUAUCUUGGGCCUUCAGCCAACCACCUAUGUGCAUUGGUUCACUGUUUUCUAGCAGCUAUAUGGGACCUAGGGUCAGAGCUGGAUUGGCGUCUGAAUAUGGCCCUUCACCUUCCGCUUGUGCAGGAGGAUCAUGUUUGUCAUCAUUCCCGACGUGGACUUCUUGUUCGCGACAUGAACUUAUUGUAGGUGAUCUGGACAUUCGCGGUGUAAAAUUAUCUUUUCACUUUAUAGACUAAUGCAUUCUCCAUGCAUAAUCAUUUGUUCUCUACGCAGACUAAAUUGGCCAACAAUGUGCACAUAUUUAUUCAAUUAGAAGACACUAGUAGAGAACUCUCCUUCCAUGCGCCCCCUUCUAUCUCGGUUUAAAGUUGGCCCAGGACAAAAGGGGACGCGUCACGGUAGGUUGGAAUGGGACGGAGUUUUACUCCCGGUUGAUAUUUGCAACCGGGACUAAAUAAAGGUGACCCUUUAGUCCCAGUUGUAACAGCUAUCCAGCCACCGACGGCGCCACCCUGUUGUCAUGGUUGGAAUAACCAACCGGGAGUAAACGUUUACUCCCGGUUGGUAGGGACAAAAGGGUAGCGCUUUGUCCUGGUUGGAAGCUCCAACCGGUUUACUCCCGGUUUGUAAUUCUAAUUGGGAUAAAAGGGUGGUGCUUUUAUCCCGGUUGGAGGCUUCAACCGGGAGUAAACUUCCAACCGGGACAAAAGAUGUUCCUUUUUAUCCUGGUUGGAAUUUAAAUUAGGAUAAAAGCUCAUCCCCCCAUAAAAUCUAAGAUAGAGGCCUUUCUUCCUCUUCCAGCCCGAGCCAGUCCACUCCACAAAGACGCUUCCCGAAGCAAGCCUAGGGGAGGUGCUGCCCGAAUAUUUUUCCUCACUUCCAUGGAGAUUUCACUCAUCCAAAGUUUUGUGAAGGUUAGCUACUUCAUCCUCCGUUUAUUUAUUGUUGUUUUGCUUUGUUUUAUAUUUUCGAGAGGGAGAAGAAUGAGUUUGCUUGCUAGAAAGAGGGAGAAUGAAGAGGAUUUGUAUUUAUACAUGUUUUUGAGCUAGGAUGUAAUGGAUAGUUUGAUUGUUAUAUAUGAUUAGUAUGAGUUAAAACAACUUGAUGUGUAGAAUGGAGAUGGAUAGUAUAGUUGCUAAAAUGUGAAGUAGAAAAUGGAGAGGAUUUUGAGGUAGAAUGUGAGGGAGAAUCGAGAGUAAAUGUGAGGUAGAAUGGAGAGGAUUUUAAUACAAUGGCAACUGCAAGCUACCCGGUCCCUCCAGUGUUUUUUUAGCAUAUUUAGACCUCUCCUUCAAGAAUCUCUGUGGUACUAUUCCUAACUUCCUGGCAAAUUUCGGAAGCACACAAGCUGCUGUCAACAAUAAACUUCGGAUGCAUGCAGUCCUUUAAUUUUCAUUCUCCUGGCUGCUAGUGAUUGAUUACAGUGUAUUUCCUAUUCAUGAUUUGAUUGAUUUAUUGAGCCAUUUUAACCUAUCAUGCAGAAUUGCUGCUCGAAGGGGACGCUCCACCCUUCUGCAUGCAUGUCGUGCCCAUGCCGCCAGCUGCUCGCUCGUCCUCGCAGCGAUUUGAGCGUAUAGUCAGCUGAAAAGAUUCUUUAUGGUGGAACCUGAUUUAUUCAGUUAUAAACGACGUGUCCAUUGAUAGUUUUGUAAAAAGAAAAUAGGUGAGUGCCUUGGUGUGCCCAUGCUGCCGGCUGCUCGCUCGUCCUCGCACCACUGUUCGGUCGUCCUCGUGUCGUCCUUAUCCACUACUCUUAGUCCACGACGACUUCCACGUCCUCAUCCUUCCCCAAGCUUAGAAAUUGAUUGUCCAUCGGGCUGCCUCAAUAAUUAAUAUUCCGAUGCAUGUUAGGUCUAUACAUGUAGGCAAAGACGAGUAAUCAUGAGUGUUUUGAGAGAGGAGAUGUUGCUGAGCCAUUCUGGCAGUGCUGAUAUGCUGCGACAAUAUUUCAACUCGAGUGACUGAAGGGAGGAGAGUUGUUGUAUGCUCUCCGGCAAGCUCAUCAGAUUUGAACAGAACGAGAAAUUCAACUUCCGGAGGGCAGGGAAGUGGUGAAACAGCCUGAAACUCUAGUGCUGGCUUGUCGUGCUGAUAGUCAAGCUGGUGGUGUGGUUGGAGUAGAGUUGCAGCGAUGGCUGCUGGUUUGUACCACCUCCAGUGAAGAUAUAACAUGGUCGAUUUCUGAUAUUAUGAACUGACGACAUUUGGGUGGGCAUGGUUUCAACCUCAACUUUGGACAUUCAAAUACCCCGAGUACAUCUAGCAUAGGGAACAUGAACUCCUCCACGCCAUCUUUGCCAGGGCACGUUGUAUUUGUAACACCCAAAAAUUACAACUUUGCAUUUUAUUAAAAUUUGCUAGAAACAAUUUGCUUGUUUAAGGCAUGUAAGGUCAUUUUUGCAUUUUUCUAGACAUCCAAGCAUUUUUCUAAUUUAAUAAUGAAAUAUAGGAUUUUAUUGGGCAUUCAUUCUGUUGCAUAUCUCUUUGUUGAAUGCUUGAAGAAGGAUUUGUGUUUCACCUUGGGUUGCUGUAUUGAAUUUUCUGUCAGUCAGCUUCCUGCUCUUGGGUGUUUCAGUUUCAGAGUUCAAUCAGUUAAUUAUCUGUUCUCUAGUUCUUCAGUUGCAGUUCUGUAGCUUUUUGGUUGUCAGUCGCCAGAUGUUCCUAUCAAGCUUUUUCAGUCUUGUGGCCUGGUUUUGUGGUUGUGUACUGCUUUUGGGUUGUUAAGUUUUUUUUUAUUUUUCUGUCAGUUGGCUGGUUGUCCUGUUUUUUCCGAAGUUCAGAGUCUGGGGCAUUCAGUUUCAGUCUCCGAUUGAUUUCUGGCUUUCCGUCAGUUCCUGUUUCUGCUUCGGAAACAGCAGCUCCUUUCUGGCCCGACGCUGUGCCCUGCUCGUGGCCCAGCACCUUUCCGCAGCAGCAGGCCAACUAGCUUGCCUCGGCCCAGUUCGAAGGCAACGGCCCAGCUCGUGACCAGGUUCCUCUCGCUCGCAGCUCUCCUCCUGCCGCAGACAAGCAGGGCCCGCAGUCAUCUUCCUCGCAGCGUUUUCUUCCGCUCGCAUGCAAAAUCGCUCGCGUUCCUCCAGCGCCGCUUCUCUGAAUCGGACUCAAGCCCGGACCGUGUGCGUGCCGCGCCCGCGUCCGACUCGAUGCGGACCCACUCGCCAGGGCUGGUACAAAAGGCCGCCGCCACUUCCUUUUUCCCCAAAACCGCAAGCUUUUUCGCAUCUACAGCUUCCUUGCGCCGCCACCCGAAGCAUCUGCCGCCACGCUCGAGCUCCUCUGUGCGCGCUGCCGUCACCCCUUCGUCGUCCUCACCUCCACCAGAAGCUCCGCGGGAAGGUGAAGACCCGGCUACACAUCGCCCGUGCAUCCCUGCGUUUUGCGUUUUGUUUUAUUUUAUUUGUUUUCCUUGCCGCAAGUUCUUGCCAGAGCCUAUGCCGUCGCCAAGUCCUCACCGUCGGCAUCCCAAAUGAGUUCAUUGCUCUCGUUUCUAUUUGCUGGUCUAAUCCUCGCUCAAAUCUGCACCCAGUCGCGCGUUCCCGGGCGAUUCCGGCGAACUGCCGUUUUCCGCCGCCGCUCGCCGUCGCUGACGUCAGCGCAGCAGCUGCCGGCCGCCGGAUCGCCAUCCGACGGUCCACAUCAAUUCAGCCGAGUCAGCAGCCGCGCUUUUGCACUUUAACCCCUGCAGUUUCUGCGUUUUGCGUUGAUAUCCUCCCGCAGCUCAAAACUAUUUAAAACCAGAUCCUUGUAAUCUCAAUUUUUCUCGCAGUUAUGCCCCUGCAUCUUGUUUUAAGCAUAUCUUUUGCUUUAUAGCUUCGUUUUUAACGUUCUUUAUAUCCGUGUGUUCGUUUUAAUGCGUAGAAUAGAUUUUCAAACAUGUUUUCUCUUUUUAAUUAUGAUUGGUGUACUGUUUUCUUAUGUAUUGUAUUUGUUUGCUUGUAUGUGCUCGUGUGACGCGUGUAGACGUUCAGCAGUUCAAGGGAUUUGGAGAUCAAGCUUUCGAGGAGUACGAACAGCAAGAGCAAGGCCAAGAAGGCAAGUCGUACCCUUGAUCACUACUUUUUAGUCCUAUACACUUUUACUUUCUCGUACUCAACAACCAUGCUAUGCACAUGUUAAGAUUCAAUUGAUGGGUCCCAAAUAAGGUUCGACUAGAUUUAAUUUACUUUUGCCUUAACCAACCAGGUUUACUUUUAUGUUGGGUAGCUUAUGCUUAGAGCUUACUUGGGAUAUGGUGGUUUAACUGAAUUCAACAUUUAAUCUUGCUUUACUUCUGUUGUACCUUCCGUUAAUACAAUAUCACAAAUGUUUAAUCGGAACAUGGAGAACCACCCGGGAAAACAGUGUUACCACAAGACUAAAUGGCUCUGGUCUUGGCUGAAUAAUUAGAAACCUUAGUCUGGGGUAAUCUUACUCGUGAUGAGGCAAGAGGGGGGACUGAGUUGUUGCAUUAGCAGCCUAUGAUAGGUUGUGCACGCCAGACACCGAAACCUUAGCGGGUUACCACCGAUUAAUGAAUCUUUGUAAAGGCCUCGUAGCGUCCCUAUGCAAUCACACCUCGGAAGUGUAGUAUGGUGCCUUGCAAACACCGCAUGGUUGGGUCCAAAGUUCUUUUGAACUUUUACGUGACUUGUGGGUAAAGAUGUACAACCUCUGCAGAGUGUAAAACUGAUCGAUCAGCCGUGCUCACGGUUAAGAGCGGCUGGACCCUCACAUGAUAAUAUUAUCGGAAGAUAGAUUUAAAUUGUUGUCAUUUUAUGCAUAUGUUGUUGACUUUAUUUAUGCUCAUGUUUAAUUUCGGGUGGUAUAAACUUAUAUUUAGCUAAUUGCUAAUAAAAUUUGACCAACUUAAUUAAAAGCUAAUGCUAAUUACACCUUAGCCAUACCUUGAUUGGCCUUACACUACACUAUUCCUCACGACUUGUGGAGUACCAACCAUAAGUGUACUCACCCUUGCAAAACCGCUAUUCAGACCAAGCUAAUUUGGAGGAGUAUCUCACGACUUUGAGGAGUUCUAGGCGUACAGUUCUUCAGUCAGCUGCCUGUGGUGUCGUCAUCGUCUUUGGAGUUCCACUGCGUAAUAAUUAGGCUUAUGUCUUAUUGAGACUUUUGGUCAUGUAAUAAUGUUUAAUACUCCCUUUAUUCGUUUUAGCACUGUCUUUGUUAUUCACUAUUAUCAUACAUGUGUGUAACUUGAUCCUGGUGCACAUAUAUUGAAAGCACUCGGUUUUGUCCUUAAAAUCAGGUGUGACAGUAUUUCACUCCUCCAAUCCUUGCAUAAAAACCACUGUGAACUUUGCCAAUUAGGGGAACGCUCCUUUUCCACCACAGAUACCCCUUUCAAUUUUUGUAACGUUGGGUAAAUUCCAGAGAAGCAGGCUCUCCAGGUACGGCAAUUGUCCAAGUGGUGGUAGGUUGCUACAUGUCGGCAGAUCCACCAAUUUAAUACAAGUAAGAUAAGGGAGAUGAUGAAAAAUUGCCAUGAGCCAGUCAGGAAAGCUUGGACUACUAUAACCUUCUAGACUCAAGUCCUUCAGGAUCAUUGGUGGCACUAGUUGUCCCAACAAAUCCUUGUCCUCCAGAUGUCGAUCAGCAUCCAAGGUCCAUACCAGUUUCAAAGUCAAAAGAUUAUGUUUGGUUAACAGGUGAAGUCUCUGUGCUUCCUCUAGAAGUGUUUUUUUCUUUGCUUCUCCCAAAACUCACCUCAACUUGCAUAAAAUGAGUUUCUUGAUAAAACCAAACCUCGUGUCCCAUUCCUUGACUAUCCUUUCAUUUUAUAUAAUUUCAAUGCUAAGUACCAACCAUAAGUGUACUCAACCUUGAUUUCAUUAUACAAGUUAGACAUUCUAGUUCUAAAUUUAUUCUGACCGUGGAGUGGUGAAAAAAUAUUUUUCCAUAAAUUUAUGCAUCUUUUAUUAUUUUGAUGCUAAUCUGUGAUGAGGAUUAUAUCAGCUACUGAUCCAGAGGGAGGUCCCCACAACCAACUGGUACUAAAUGAGCACUUUAGUACGAGUUAUGUGGCUUGAUACUAAAGGGUCCCCUUUAGUACAAGUUGUCCAACCAGGUUUGAGACUGGUACUAAAGGUGGAUUCCCCAGUAGUGUGUGGUGCAUCACACCCCCUACUCUUGCUAUAAACUGGGAGAGAUACUACCUUUCAUACCCAGUUGUAGAACUGCGAGUAAUACCCCCAAGGUAUUGAUUCCUCGUAUGCACUACCGGUUCACAUUCCUGAACGAGGAGUGAUGUCCAUUUAUAUAGUAGUGUGAUUUAAAAGGAAAAAUAUAGAUUCCAUUAGUUAGUGAUGUGGCCUAACGUUGUUGCUUAUUGCGUUUUGUUUUCAAGAAUACAGGAAAGACAUUUGUGCGGGGGAGUACCAUUUCAUGUAUACAUAUAUCUUUCCAUGGCGUGUAUUAUAUAUGGUUUUGCUCUUGGAAGUUCUUGUGUCGAUACGGUCGCACGGUCUCCUCAUCAUCGUUCACUGAAGAAAGUGUAUAUAAACGUACUCAUUCUCUAUAUUCGACGACCUAGUACCGUGGACCUCCCAAGUCUUUGCCUGAUAAUUAAGCACGUGAUCAAGUUGGCUUUACAAACUCUCGUUUUAGGAGAGCUUAAUACACAAGUUUUAUUAUUGUCCGUACACGUCUUGUUCGAUGUGCAAAAAGUCCUGCCGAACGGUGCUUUUAGUGCAAAUUUAAUUAAAUAGAUGCCAAUUGCCACGUUCAAGGAUAAAAAUCGAGUGGUCAUGGCCACCCCCUGCAGCUUGUCUUCGCCAAGUGGGGUGGAAAGAAAUCGAGUGCUCAUGUGCACGAGUCACCAUCACAUGCCCUACUGGAAAGAUAAGUAUGCUUACCACACAAUACUAGCUAGUAUACUACACAAGCAUGCAUGUGUGAUGUCAGCAUGCCGUCUCUGGAUGAUGCAACCAAAUUAAUGUAUAUAUGUCCGGUAAUUAACGUUGUGUUUAAAUUUUUUCGGUGCCGGCAAAACAAGGCGUCUCCAAAAGGUAUGUCUUUUAGUCACCGUGUCACUGUAACAUUAAUCAGUUUAACAUUCAAAUGAGUGAAGGGCAUCUUAGCAUGGUAAUUUCAUGCUUACUUGGCACUUUUGGCAACGUGCAAGAGUGUUUUUGGUCUUCGAUUCCGGAGCCAUACUAGCGCACGCGAUCCGUGGGCCUCGCAAUUCUAUGCAUAUAUUAAGUAAGGUACAGGCACAGUUGCUUUUCAAAAAGCAACUGCUCUGCAAAUAAUCGUUGAUGACUUCACCAAGUCAACGUCUUCGUCUUAGCCGGGCGCUCAUUCCACUAGCAAGGUACUAAGCACUCAUCUCUAGUCCAAAACUCAAGUAUCCUUGCUGCUAUCAGUGAUCCCUGCUUGUUUGCUCUCUCUUUUUGACCUUUUCCAAGUCCAAAUGCUCCACAUGCUUUGUCUGAAAGAGGGCACUGCUUGGAAUGUGGACUUAUUGUAUGGACAUGUUGCCUCAGCCAUUCCACUAAACAAUGAUUUUUAUGAAAAACACCAAAAGGUGUGAGUUUUCGUGUUAAGUCUAAAAUGAACCUUCGCAUAGUCCCAGGUCUGGUCAGCACAGAUUGACGACUGUGAGGGUCGGAGACCCUAUUGAUAUAUUUGCUUCGUGCGAACUUUCCUGGGGUAAUAUCCACGAGGCGGAUGAUAGUAACCCUAUUUGGAUCCUAGUAUAUCUGUGGAUGGACCUUGAUAUAUAGCUAGUAAACACUAGUAGGGUCAGCAAAGCAAUACAAUUAAUGCUCAUGUGUUAUGAUUCCUUCUACUACUUGUUUAAGACUCCAUGACACUGAAGAUAAUUUUAGGAUGUUCAUUCCAUAUAUACCCACUUGCCACACUUUAGCACAACCUGUAUGACCUUUAACCUAAUCAUGCGACAGAAUGAUCACUUUAUAGCACCAAACUGAAAUUUGAUACAUUGACCUCACAGAAGUCGUCGUCUAAUCCUGAGGCUGAAUCGACUUAACCUUUAAAUACCACCCCAUCAGUACUGGUUCAAUAUGGUAUUAUAUUUGCAGUUUGAUUAAUGGCACAUAUAGUAUUACGUCUUGGAAUGAUUGAUGGACAUACGGAUAGUUUUGUAUGUAUAAGGUUGUUGAAGUGAUAAAAAUAUUAAGUCAUCGUGCAUAUACAACGGUCGGUAAAGACAUCUCGAACGCCAAAAUCAUCAAUAUUUUGUGUGUGUGUGUGUAUAGUACUUUAUUACAUCUUUGUAAUAUCAUCAGAUUAAAUCUAGCUUUGUCCAUAUAGUCUCCAAAAGGCAUGUCUAGUCAUGGUCACUCUAACGAAACUACCUGCACGGUGAAGUCUUCAAGCCCUGAGUCGCUACGAGAGCCUCCGAUCAGUGAGCCUCGCAAGUCUAUACCCAAAUCAUGCAUGCGAUAGAUCGAAUGCCACUAUAGGUAGCACUUUAUGUAACCAAACUGAAUUUGAUACCUUGAUCUAUGGUUAGUUUACACCUAAUCACAAGGUUAAGUACCACCUAUACCUAGGUUCAUUGCAUUUUUCCACGAGCAAGUACAGCGUUAACAAAUUGAGCGUUUUGGAAUCAAUGCUCCACGCAUCUCUUCAAGUUGAAGGGUGGCUUCAACUUGUGCCAUGAGCAAGUUUAUUUAAUUAACUAAGUUGAAAGACUUUAAUCUUUAGCUAUGUUGUUGCUGCAGAGCUACUGAUCGAGCUAGCUAGCUCCCUUAACAUCAUUAAGAGCUCUGGCUAAGUGUGCAUCAACCACCACCGGAUGUGGUUCGACAGAGUCCCCGCCCCCGGAUCAACCACCACGCACCAAGCUAUGCUUUUUCUUGAGCUCUAUAUAUACGACCUCAGGGCUCUCCGGGACUCCAAACUGUGUACUCUCUUCACUAGAGUGAGGUAGAGAACUAGGCUCGCCCACUCCACCGCCAUGGUUUUGGCACCGAGUCCCCAACCAAGCGACGAUUCGCCCAUGCGGCAUUGUGCCGACGAUAAUACAGAUGUUGUGGAAGCUUUUGUGUACCUGGCCGUUGUGGCCAUGUUCCUCUUGCAUAUACUUGGUCCGUUACGCCGGCCGUUGAGCCACGGCCUCCUCCAUCAUAUCGUGAUGGGAGUCUACACUCUCUCCUACCCUUUGGUGGGCUACACCAUUGGGCGGAUGCAGUCUUCCGAUAUCUACUACAUGGACUUCACCGUGUGGGCUGUGUUCCUGCUUCUGCUCCUCAGCAGCACGGACAGCCUCACGGCUUGCCGCCUCAACGACAUCAACAGCUGGAAGAGCAUCUACGUCAAACAACUCUUUAAAGGUGUCUUGCUGGUGUAUAUCAUUAUAUUGUUUGCCUUUGACUUCGAGCAGCAGGACGAUGCGCACUACCUGUGGUACCCGCUCUCGGCCAUCCUGUUUGUUAUCAUCCUCAAGUCAUAUGUGAUGAUAGCAUCCAUGAGGAUGGUGAGCAAGUCCUACCUCGGCAAGAACAUGAGGGUGAUCACCGAAUACAUGCGGUAUAAGGUGGUGCCCUUCGAUCCAGUGACCAUGGAAGGCUGCCGGUACAUGGUCGCUGGAGAGAAACACUGCAUCAACCGGCGUGGACGCACACCAUGGUACGAGCAGGAAGACUUGAAGGUUACCACCGUGGACCAGAUCUGGCAGUGCAAGGGGAAUCUGCUCACCGAUGAUCGGGGUAAUGCGCUCAAGGACUUGUGCCUCUCUAUGGCACUCUCAAAGAUGCUCAACCGAAGGUUUGAUGGGUUCAAGCUCUCUAAGGCAGAGCUUCAGAAAACCCAUGACUUCGUCUUCAAAGGCCUUCUCGCCGGGGACGAGCCACAUCUGCGGGCCUUCAGGGUUAUUGAGGAGGAGCUUGUUUUUGUCCAUGACAUGUAUUACACAAGGUACUCUUACCUUUACCAAAAGGGUAAAUACCUGGCUCUCUGUCUGCCUGUCAUCAUGAUUGCCCUAUGCUCGUGGCUCACAGUAGCCUGCCUGGACGUCAAGUAUCAGGACGACCGUUAUCGCAGUAAUC